rnacentral:rRNA from 1 species
UACGUAGGGGGCAAGCGUUGUCCGGAUUUAUUGGGCGUAAAGAGCGUGUAGGCGGCUUUGCAAGUCCGUUGUGAAAACUCGAGGCUCAACCUCGAGACGCCGGUGGAAACUGCAAAGCUAGAGUCCGGAAGAGGAGAGUGGAAUUCCUGGUGUAGCGGUGAAAUGCGUAGAUAUCAGGAGGAACACCGGUGGUGUAGACGGCUUUCUGGACCGACACUGACGCUGAGACACGAAAGCGUGGGUAGCAAACAGG